CCCUAGAUGGACCUGGCACCCAGACCACUUCAUAAAGCUUAAGUGGUCUGGGUGCCUAGAGUGGUCCUUUAACACUGUAAGGUAAUUAUUGCAGUUUAUAAAAACUGCAAUAAUUACACUGGCAGGGUUAAGGGUGAUGGGAGUUGGCACCCUGACCACUCCAAUGGGCGUGUGGAACCCCCAAAUAAUUUUGUGAGGACAGGGCAUAGCUCUGGCUAUUGUAAUCUCACUCUAAAUAUGGUCUUGUUUCCAUGCUUUCCAAUGGUCAAUCAGCAAAGUUAGAAUUGUCAGGAAUUCAAAGUUAAUUUGAAAUUUAAGGGCAAUAUAGCUGAAAUGGAAAAAUAAUCCAAGUCAGCUAUGCUUCCAACUGCUUUGGUCUUAAAUUUGAACUUUGCUUUGAAUUCCAGAAAACUGUCACUCUAGUGCUCCUAUCUCCUACAACUUUUUACACAGUGAAAAGGUGUGUCUGUUAGAUUAUGGGCUUGCACUGCCCCCCACUGUCUGAAAGAAGAAUUGGGCAUAUUCUGAAGGAGUACUUAUAGAAAACUAGACAAUUCUACCGGUAUUUUAUAGGACCAAAAAAAUCAUGACUGCAAUGCUUUGUUCUUCCCUCUGGGAUUCAAUAUGUUAAAUACAGUGUAAAAAUGGAAAGACAGUAAUGCCUUGUGAUGAAUGAACUAUAAAUUAAAAUGCAACACGUGCUC